AAGGAAGAUGAAAAGGGACAUCCACACAAAGAGAUAGAGAUGGGAGUGUGGAGGCGGGGGGAGAAGGGGAGCCCAGCCCUCAGGUAGCAAGGCAGCCCCCUCUAAUAACCACAAUGAGGCUCCUCUCCCUUCCCUUUCCGUCCCCAGUGUCGGAGUAUCUGCUGGAGUGCGGUACGGAUGGAGGAGCUGGCUGACUGCAGUGAAGGAAAAGCCCCCUGUAGCCACAACCCCUCCCCAAGCACACACUCCAGGCUGCACACGACUCUGCCUCUUGUUAGCUGGGCAGCCUUGGGCAAGGGGGAGAACCGACUCCAGCCUCAGUUUCUUUCUCUUUACAUGGGGAUCCCCCUCCUUCCUUAGGUUGCCAAGAGGAUGAAAGUCACAAAUGGGCGUGGCGGGGCUUUGUUCCUUCUGAAGCUCAGGACAAAGCACUGGGCUUCCCUCCUGCCUGGGAGCCUCCAGUACAGCAUGGAGUUUGGCCACGUGAUGGGUGAGGAAAGGAUGGGGCCUGUGGCAUGGCUGGGGAGGCCAGGAGCAGCUGUACGAGGAAAUGAGGGCUCCUUGUCUCGGGUGGGGGCCGCUCUUGCUCUGUUCUCUCUCUCUCUCCCUUUCUCUUUCUCUUAUGUGGAGACUGGUAGCUCUGUUGCUAGGAGACAAGGAAACCCAGUUAUCACCAGCCACAGCAUUAGAUGGGACUCCGGUCUCCAUUGUCCCCACCUCUGCCUCUGGGGCGACUGUUACCCCUAAAGAGGGGCUCUCGGGUCCCCGCCAGCCCCACCAUCCUCCACAUGCUUUCGCCUGAGCCUUUUGUCUCGGGCUCACGCUGCUGAAGCUCUGCCUCUGGACUGUGGGGUCCUUCCCCGCCCCCUUCUCAUCUCCUUUUUAAUUUAACAAAUGUCACGGAAUGACCUGCCGGGUGUAAGUUUGCUUUGAGGAUUAGGGCCUGGAAAAUAAAUCAUGGAGAGACAAAGCCCUGAGUGUAGGGGGCAGGCCUGGGGCUCAGCUCUGGCCUCCACCUCCCCCCGCCUGCCUCUGCCACCACCCAGCUGGUGAUGGAGGCAGGAGCUCCAAGGCUCAGCCCACCCAGGAUAGAGGAAUGGGCCAGGGCCUCAGCGUCUUGGCUGGGUAGCCUUGGGCAAGUCACUCAACCUCUUUGAGCUUCAGUGUUCUCCUUUACAAAACUCAGAAAAUGACAGUGUCUGCUUCAUGAGGCUGCUGUGGGGAUAAAAAGCAUUAAUGCACACAGAGAGCUUAGCACAUGGUAAAGGCUUAAGAAGCGCCAGCUGCCAUUGGCACUCCUGGAAUUAUGGUCGGAGUUCUCAAGAACAGCAGCAGGGAGGCCUGGAGGACACGCUAGGGCUCCUUCUGGGCAGAAGGGCUUGACAAGACUGUUUCUAGCUGCUGCUGCCACAGAAACAGGGUCCAAUCCGCAAGAGGGCUGUGAAGAAAGCCCAGACACAGGACAGUAGAAACCAGCAACUAAACACACCUGUUUACCAGGAGCGCCCUGAGGGCGUGGCACAGUGUUCAACUGGUCGCCUCUCCUGAGCCUCACAGCUUCUCAAUAAGGAAGAUCUGAGGAGGAAACCGAGGCCCACCCCCACCCAGCCUGAGGGGCAGGACUCACUGCAAGUGGCCUCGGACUCAUCGGAGCCGUCAGGACACUCCUCCUCGCCAUCACACUUCCACCGCUCGUGGAUGCAGUGGCCGUUGUCACAGGUGAAGUCACUGUCCGCACAGGUCUUCUUGGCUGCAGGGGAAGGAGGAGAGCGUAGUGAGUCUGGGAGCAGUCAGGAGGGCGGUGGGGCAACCAGGAUGUGCUUGGUCUGCAAGCCGGACCACAGGGCUUCCCACAGCCCCACCAGGCCACAGACUGCCUUGCUGACCAAGGGCAGAGGACGGGAGAGACAAGCUUCUUUGUUCCUUAGGCAUCUGAACACUGCGUGAAGACAGGUGACAUUUUGCUCUGCCCUCCAAGUCCAAGAGCUCAAAUCCAGCAAACAUGACAAGACUUAUCAUACCCCUGUCACUCUCCUGCUUCCCUUCAAGGUCUAGUUCCACUGCCACUGCCUCCAGGAAGCCUUCCCUGAUAGCCUACAGCAGCUGCCUUAGCUCCUUCAGCCAGUUCUCAGUCUCUUUACCUGCCUGUCCCACUUUCCCCAACUGGACUGGAAGUCGAAGUCCCUUCUGCAGGCACCAGGCAGUUUGUGACCAUGAAUCCUACACCUAGAUGAUUCCUUUGUGGCAAGAUGAAUGAGAAUAGGGAGAGGAAGACAAAAGGCGGUGAGGAGGAGCAACAAGAAGUUAUAAUGUAUGAAGAACCCGCAGCAGACUCAGGCACAUGGCAGAUGCUGGAGAAGUGGCGGCUACUGUUGUUUUCAGGGUUUGAGUCUCAAUUAGAAGCUGAAGGAAUGGGGUUCUGUGCCCACACAGGGGAUAUAGCAGGCUGAGAGCUCACAGCUGGUAACAGAGCUGAGAUAAGAAUAUGGGUACCAUCCCCAGA